GACAGUGUGGAGCAGUGGUUUGAGUUUUAAACUAUGGCUCUGGAGACCAGGGUUCAACUUCCAGCUCAGGCA